UAGGGAAUCUUCCACAAUGGACGCAAGUCUGAUGGAGCAACGCCGCGUGAGUGAAGAAGGUUUUCGGAUCGUAAAGCUCUGUUGUUGGUGAAGAAGGAUAGAGGUAGUAACUGGCCUUUAUUUGACGGUAAUCAACCAGAAAGUCACGGCUAACUACGUGCUAG
rnacentral:rRNA from 1 species